rnacentral:rRNA from 1 species
GACGAACGCUGGCGGCGUGCUUAACACAUGCAAGUCGAACGAUGAAGCCGGAGCUUGCUCUGGUGAAUUAGUGGCGAACGGGUGAGUAACACGUGAGUAACCUGCCCUUGACUCUGGGAUAACUGCGGGAAACUGUAGCUAAUACCGGAUACGACCCUCGGAGGCAUCUCCUGGGGGUGGAAAGAAUUUCGGUCAAGGAUGGACUCGCGGCCUAUCAGCGAGCUGGUGAGGUAAAGGCUCACCAAGGCGACGACGGGUAGCCGGCCUGAGAGGGUGACCGGCCACACUGGGACUGAGACACGGCCCAGACUCCUACGGGAGGCAGCAGUGGGGAAUAUUGCACAAUGGGCGCAGGCCUGAUGCAGCAACGCCGCGUGAGGGAUGACGGCCUUCGGGUUGUAAACCUCUUUCAGCAUCGACGAAGCGAAAGUGACGGUAGGUGCAGAAGAAGGACCGGCCAACUACGUGCCAGCCGCCGCAGUAA